rnacentral:tRNA from 1 species
GCGAGAGUGGCGGAAUUGGCAGACGCGCUGGAUUUAGGAUCCAGUGGGAUAAUAUCCUGUGGGGGUUCAAGUCCCCCCUCUCGCA